rnacentral:lncRNA from 1 species
UGAUGAGCCAGAUGGCAGAGGGGCUGCUUCAGCCACAUUGUCUUCCAAGGUGAUGUGACAGCAUACUCAGCCCGCCCGACCCCACUGAGGAGAAAACUGCUACCAUUAGUAAACAGGGUUAAAUCAGCCUAAGCGAGGGGAUGUUCAAGGGUGUCCGGUCUGCUUGCAGACACUUCAUCUGAGAGUUCCACACAGUCAUGGUCAAGACUGAGAAGGGUUUCAGUGUGAACGCAUGGAUAUCCAGCGGUGCCUGUGUGAAUCCAUCAGGGUGUCAAUAGCAUGGGGGACCUUGAGGCAAGUAGGCUGUCCAAGAGUCAGCUUCUUUGCCUCAUUAAGCAAGAGAUUGUGGCAGAAAGAGAACGCAGGCAAGGGGGCCACCCAGCGGCCACUGUGUCAAGGUGUUUGGACAGGAUUUUCAGCAAAGCCUCUUGAUUCAACUUGCUCCUGCUGCCUGCUUCUGUGCUCCAGUCAUCCGCUACAGACCUGCUUGACUCAGAUCGCUCUCCUGAUCCCAACCUACCUUGGCCCAGUCCAAGAUCAUCUCCAGCCUAGAGCCACAUCGCCCCAGGCCCGGCCCCAGGACCCAGGCUUCUGUGAUCAUGGCCAGGAAUGA